GGGCCGCUUAAAGUGCCUGUGGAGCGGAGAAAGUGGAGCUAUCCUUGAGUUAAAGCGGCGUUCGGGUGAGUAACACGGUGGGUAACUCUUACCUUUUUAGGUGGGGAAUACACCCGUGGGAAACCGGGGCUUAACUACCGCAUAACUCUCUUGUAAAGGGAAAGCCAGCUAACUGCUGCUUGAAAGAGGCAGCCCGCGGGCCUGAUUUAGCUUAGUUGGUGAGGCUAACGUGCUUCCCCAAGGCGGUGAUCGGCUAGCCGGCCUUGAGAGGGCACACGGCCACACUUGGCACUUGAAACACGGGCCAGACCUUUUACGGGAGGCAGCAGUGGGGAACUUUUGCACAAUGGAGGAAACUUUUGACUCAGCGACGCCGCGUGAGCGAUGAACCCCUUUCGGGGUGAAAAGCUUUUCGGGCAGGGACAUAAUGACGGUCCUUGAAAAGAAGUUGCGGGUUAACUUCGUGCCAGCAGCCGCGGAAAUCGUAGGCAGCGAGCGUUGUUCGAAAUUUCUUGGGCGUAAAGAGUGUGUAGGCGGUGCUUCUAAGUUCGGUGUGAAAUCUCCUGGUUAACUGGGAGGGUGCCCCAAAACUGGAGUCUCAACGUGAGAG
rnacentral:rRNA from 1 species